rnacentral:rRNA from 1 species
GACGUAGGGUGCAAGCGUUGUCCGGAUUUAUUGGGCGUAAAGAGCUCGUAGGCGGUUCGGUAAGUCGGGUGUGAAACCUCCAGGCUCAACCUGGAGACGCCACCCGAUACUGCUGUGACUAGAGUCCGGUAGGGGAGCGUGGAAUUCCUGGUGUAGCGGUGAAAUGCGCAGAUAUCAGGAGGAACACCAGCGGCGAAGGCGGCGCUCUGGGCCGGAACUGACGCUGAGGAGCGAAAGCGUGGGGAGCAAACAGG